UACAGAGGGGGCGAGCGUUGUUCGGAAUCACUGGGUGUAAAGGGUGCGUAGGCGGUCAGUUAAGUCUGAUGUGAAAGCCCUCGGCUCAACUGGGGAAUUGCAUUGGAAACUAGCUGGCUGGAGUACUGGAGAGGGAAGCGGAAUUCCUGGUGUAGCGGUGAAAUGCGUAGAUACCAGGAGGAACACCGGUGGCCGAAGGGCGGCUUACCUGGCCAAGUACUGACGCUGAGGCACGAAAGCGUGGGGAGCGAACGGG
rnacentral:rRNA from 1 species